GGUUCCGUGGUCUAGUUGGUUAUGGCAUCUGCUUAACACGCAGAACGUCUCCAGUUCGAUCCUGGGCGGAAUCA
rnacentral:tRNA from 1 species